rnacentral:rRNA from 1 species
GAUGAACGCUGGCGGCGUGCUUAACACAUGCAAGUCGAACGGAAAGGCUCCUGCUUGCAGGGGUACUCGAGUGGCGAACGGGUGAGUAACACGUGGGUGAUCUGCCCUGCACUUCGGGAUAAGCCUGGGAAACUGGGUCUAAUACCGGAUAGGACGAUGGUUUGGAUGCCAUUGUGGAAAGUUUUUCGGUGUGGGAUGAGCUCGCGGCCUAUCAGCUUGUUGGUGGGGUAAUGGCCUACCAAGGCGUCGACGGGUAGCCGGCCUGAGAGGGUGUACGGCCACAUUGGGACUGAGAUACGGCCCAGACUCCUACGGGAGGCAGCAGUGGGGAAUAUUGCACAAUGGGCGCAAGCCUGAUGCAGCGACGCCGCGUGGGGGAUGACGGCCUUCGGGUUGUAAACUCCGUUCGCUAGGGACGAAGCGUUUUGUGACGGUACCUGGAGAAGAAGCUCCGGCUAACUACGUG